rnacentral:sRNA from 1 species
AUUCUGCCCAUGCGGGGAAGGAUGAGAAGCUUCGACUAAGGUUCGGCUCGAGCGUCAGCGAGAGAGCGUUGCCGCAGGCAACGACCCGACGGGCGAAGCGCGCAGCGCUGAGUAAUCCUUCCCCCACCACCA